CUACUGGGGUAUCUAAUCCUGUUUGCUCCCCACGCUUUCGCGCCUCAGCGUCAGUAAUGAGCCAGAAAAUCGCCUUCGCCACCGGUGUUCCUGUGAAUAUCUACGAAUUUCACCUCUACACUCACAAUUCCAUUUUCCUCUCUCAUCCUCAAGCUCUCCAGUUUUAAAUGCCAUCCCCAGGUUGAGCCCGGGACUUUCACAUCUAACUUAAAAAACCGCCUACGCGCCCUUUACGCCCAGUCAUUCCGAACAACGCUUGUCCCCUUCGUAUUACCGCGGCUGCUGGCAC
rnacentral:rRNA from 1 species